GGAGUUGGCCAGACAGUCGCCGCUUCGUGGUCGUCCCCUCGGGGAGACACACGGGGGGGAGGAAAGUCCGGGCUCCAUAGGGCAGGGUGCCAGGUAACGCCUGGGCGGCGCAAGCCGACGACUAGUGCAACAGAGAGCAAACCGCCGAUGGCCUGUGUUUCACAGGAUCAGGUAAGGGUGAAAGGGUGCGGUAAGAGCGCACCGCGCGACUGGUAACAGUUCGUGGCACGGUAAACUCCACCCGGAGCAAGACCAAAUAGGGGUUCAUUGGUGCGGCCCGCAUUGAACCCGGGUAGGUUGCUUGAGCCAGUGCGCGAGUGCUGGCCUAGAGGAAUGACUGUCCACGACAGAACCCGGCUUACCGGCCGACUCCCUCA
rfam:Plesiomonas shigelloides 302-73 genomic scaffold scaffold00002, whole genome shotgun sequence.